GGCCCGGCUCCCGAAUAGUCCCCGGAUGGGAGCGCGUUCCUGUCCAGGCGGCAGGAUAGGGGCCGGGUCGCCU
rnacentral:sRNA from 12 species